rnacentral:rRNA from 1 species
AUUGAACGCUGGCGGCAGGCUUAACACAUGCAAGUCGAGCGGGGUGAUGGUGCUUGCACUAUCACUUAGCGGCGGACGGGUGAGUAAUGCUUAGGAAUCUGCCUAUUAGUGGGGGACAACAUCUCGAAAGGGAUGCUAAUACCGCAUACGUCCUACGGGAGAAAGCAGGGGAUCACUUGUGACCUUGCGCUAAUAGAUGAGCCUAAGUCGGAUUAGCUAGUUGGUGGGGUAAAGGCCUACCAAGGCGACGAUCUGUAGCGGGUCUGAGAGGAUGAGCCGCCACACAGGGACUGAGACACGGCCCAGACUCCUACGGGGUGCAUCAGUGGGGAAUAUUGGACAAUGGGGGGGAACCCUGAUCCAGCCAUGCCGCGUGUGUGACGAAAGCCUUAUGGUUGUAAAGCACUUUAAGCGAGGAGGAGGCUCUUUUGGUUAAUACCCAAGAUGAGUGGACGUUACUCGCAGAAUAAGCACCGGCUAACUCUGUGCCAGCCGCCGCGGUAA